UACAGAGGUCCCAAGCGUUGUUCGGAUUCAUUGGGCGUAAAGGGUGCGUAGGCGGCGCGGUAAGUCGGGUGUGAAAUCUCGGGGCUUAACUCCGGAACUGCAUUCGAUACUGCCGUGCUUGAGGACUGGAGAGGAGACUGGAAUUUACGGUGUAGCGGUGAAAUGCGUAGAUAUCGUAAGGAAGACCAGUGGCGAAGGCGGGUCUCUGGACAGUUCCUGACGCUGAGGCACGAAGGUCAGGGGAGCAAACGGG
rnacentral:rRNA from 1 species